rnacentral:rRNA from 1 species
UACAGAGGUCCCGAGCGUUGUUCGGAUUCAUUGGGCGUAAAGGGUGCGUAGGCGGCUUCCUAAGUUUGAUGUGAAAUCCUGGGGCUCAACCCUGGAACUGCAUUGAAUACUGGGAGGCUAGAGUACUGGAGAGGAAACUGGAAUUUACGGUGUAGCAGUGAAAUGCGUAGAGAUCGUAAGGAAGACCAGUGGCGAAGGCGAGUUUCUGGACAGUUACUGACGCUGAGGCACGAAGGCCAGGGGAGCAAACAGG